UAAUCAUCUUUUAAAAAAUUA
rnacentral:miRNA from 1 species